GGUAGUAGCAAAUAAUCGAAUGAGACUUUAGAGGACUGAAGUGGACGAAGGUUUCGUGCGUUGAUCACGAUUUAGUCGGUCCUAAGUUCACGGCGAAAGCUGAGGAUUUUUAACUUAUAUAUUUAUACGUAUAUAUAGAACACUUGAAUAUAAUUAAACGAAAGGGAGUAUGGUUCCAAUUCCUUAACCUGUUGAGUAUCCGUUUGUUCGGUAGUGUGAUCGCAUAUCGUUGUUAUGCAUUCACUUUGAAGUGUGACAGAAUUAUGCAAUUUCAGCAUAAUUGUUCUGCAAAAAGAAAAACGAUAAUUAUAUCACACUUCAACUGGCUGAGAAUUGCAUUUCCUAAUGCAAUACGACUCUAGGCGCUCUAAUGAAAAUAAAGCGUAACAAUUAUUAUUUCCUUACACUAGCAUUAAGGUACCUGUAAAGUUUAGUAUAAGUAGCUAUACUUAAAACGAAUAAAGUUAAUUGUCAAGAAGCAAUUCACAUAGCGUUUUAUUCGCUCAAACCGAAAGGCGUUUCUAAAAUAUUAGCUAGGAACUGCUUCUAGCCGAUCUUAGUAUUGGCACUGAAAGAAACAGAUUGACUUGGGAGGGAACAAAUCGUUAACACAAAAUAAAUCAUCUUUACCCGGCGAUAAAAUAAAAUAUCACCACAUGGAAAUUGUAAAUAACAAAAUUUAUUACAUGGCGAUCGCCUAACACCAACACCAACAAAAUUUAUUACAGUUCAUUAAAUGUAGGCCUUGUGCUCAUCCUGGCGACAGAAACGACCAUAAAGGAGGCAUGGAGAAAUAUCGAAAGAGCUUUCUUUUCUGUUUGAUAGUCUUACUAGCCUUCGAAUCUUUUGAAGAGAGAUAUGGUAGAUGAGUUAGAAGAGCAUGACAUUUACUGUUGUGUCGAUAUUUUCCCCUCGCAUCUUGAAAAUCUAUGGUAGGGUCAACAGGCCGUACCAAUAUCUGCAGCAGAUCUCUAAGGUGAAGAGUCUCUAGUC
rnacentral:ncRNA from 1 species